UUUUGCUGCUCUCUCUCUCCCCUUCACGUCUUUAGCAGUGGCGCCUUCCUCCUCUCUGUUGUUUUCUUUCUUCCAUUUUUCAAUAGCUUUGGAAAUGCAAUCCACCGCCCAAAAUCAUCCUCUCUCGCUCAUAUUUCUAUGGGAUAAAUUUUUUUCGAUCAAAGAAAAAUAUACAAGAAGAAAAAGCAAAAAUCGAGAGCUUUGAGAUUUUUCCAUGUGGUUGGUUCUUUAUGAACAAUCCUAGCAAUUUCUUAGUGAAAAUACUUGGAGCAACCGUGAGAUUGGUUGCCUGUCUUUGUGGCCGUGUCUUGCCUCUCCGGAUCUCGGCUCCCUAAGCCGUUCUACUACUUUUGUUUAUUUUCUGUUGUAAUAUUUAAUUCUCGUAUUAUUUAUUCUGUAAAAGUGGUUUGUAUUUUUAAGGUUUUGAAAUACCCACAAAUCUAUAAUAGUUGAUUACGACCUAUUUUUUUGGGCUUCUACUGAAGGGAUAAAUUUCCAACAUUGAUAUCAGAGCUUGGUCUCUGAUUCGCCUUAGUGGUGGAAAAAGUUCAUGGCUAUGAUGAUAGCCGAGAUCCGGCCUUGGGCCUGGUUUCUUUUUUCUGGGGGUCUUAGUCCAAGGGAAAAAUUGUUAAAAAUUGAGUGGCCUAUGACCUUUUAGGUAGGCCCAAGGCCCAUCUCUCUCACUUGGAUGGCUCCCAUGUAUUUACCAAAAUUUGCUAGGCCUACUAACAAAAUCAGCCCACUAUCUUAUCCAGCCCAAAAGCCCGACCUGACCCGGUCCCAUUUUAAACUCCUAAAUAUACCAUCUUUUGUUGCUCUCUCUCUCUCUCUCUCUCUCUCUCUCUCUCUCUCUCUUCUUCUUCUUCUUCAUGUCUUCAGCAACGGCGCAUUCCUCCUCUCUGUUUUUUUCUUUCUUCCAUUUCUCAAUAGCUUUUGAAAUACAAUCCGCCCCCCAAUUAACCUCUCUCACUCAUAUUUCUAAGGUAUAAAUUUUCCUUCGAUCAAAGAAAAAUAUACAAGAAAAAAAAGCAAAAGUCGAGAGUUUUGAGAUCUUCCUAAGUGGUUGGUUCUUGUUCCUAAGUGAUAGGUUCUUUGUAAACAAUCCUAGCAAUUUCUUGGUGAGAAUACUUGGAGCAACCAUGAGAUUGGUUGUUGGCCUUUGUGUCCGUGUCUUGCCUCUUCGGAUCUCGGAUCCUGAGCCGUUCUACUGCUUCUGUUUAUUUUCUGUUGUAAUAUUUAAUUCUUGUAUUAUUCAUUCUGUAAAAGUGGUUUGUAUUAUUGAGGGUUUGAAAUACCCACAAAUCUGUAAUAGUUGAUUAGGGCCUAUUUUUUUGGGGCUUUGACUGAAGGGAUAAAGAUAUAGAUAUUCGACAUAAAUGAUUAUAAUUUAUUUAUUUCAA